ACUCUCUAGCUCAGGAAAUAGAUCGUAGUCGUUUACAAGUAACACCAAAGAAUGGGAAAGACGGACCUAUGGGCUAUGGCCCAGACCAGAAAAAUAAGCCGACUAUAAGUACCUUCCUACUCCUUCUCUAAACCCCUAAUCAUAUCGAUGGACACGUACUCAAGCAGGGUAAUCGCCCACAAGGCACCUUUCGAUAGUGAGGCUGCUGCUAAGGAUGAAGCCAUCGAUCCGUGGGUUAGGAUAUCUGUUGAAGGAUACAGAUUUCAUAAGGACACUGAGAAUGAAAUGAGGAUUAAAUUGGUUAAUCACUUCAAAUCAUGUGGCC